GAAAUUGUUUUGGGAAUUAAAUGAUCCCUCUGCUUUAUUUCAGGCUCAUAAGUCGACCAUCUGGCAGGUGAAGCAUUUGCCUCAAAACAGAGACAUCUUCAUGACCGCAGGAGGAGCAGGCAACUUACAUCUCUGGAAAUAUGAGUAUCCCGCUCAGAGAAGCAAAAAGGGGUCAGAUGACAUGGAUGUGGGCGUAGCUGGCUCUGUUAACCUCCUACAGAACGCUACCCUGUCUACUCAGCCGAUCGCCAGCCUGGACUGGAGCCCCGACAAGCAGGGCCUGUGUGUGUGCGCGAGCUUUGACCAGUCAGUCCGCGUGCUCAUCGUCACCAAACUCAACUCUGUGUGAAACAGUAGACCAGAACAAAAACUGACGGUCAGGGUGUGUGCAGCCUGAUAUGAGAUGAGACAUAAUGUCAGAGACACCAACAGUGUGUAAAUCACUGCCGUUCUGUCAGGCUGAAUAGUCUUUUAUUAGAAGACAACAAUUUCCUCCUGCGUGUCUUGGCUGCUGUCUUUCUAGAUUUUGUACAGUCGAUACUCAUCCUCAGAAAUGUCUUGCCAGGAAACUGUUUAACUCAAAUGAACUUGGAAAUCCUUGGUUGGUGUUAUGCUGUGUGGUCUCUGUUAAAUGCUAGCCUUGAAAAAUGUGUAGUGCUUGGCUGAGCCCUGCAUGCAGUGUUAACCUGGAGUGCAGAGAAAUCCAAUGAUACCUUUCUUGUAUUAUCAAAAGAGCCUCUAAUGGGAUGAAGGAAUGAGUCAUUUGGCCUCUGGCUUGGAAAAACAGUUUGGGGAUCAAGAUUUAAUGUUUUUUAUCUGGUUUCAUUUUUGUAGGAUGUUCACUGAAACACGUCUUUUGUUGCACUAUUGGUGGAUGUGUUGUUCUCCAGUUUUGUCUGUUGUUGCUAUUGUCACUUUUGAUAUUCCAUUUUUAUUGAGAGCUCUGUUUUUUCAAAUUAAAUGUGCUUUUGGAGAAAAAGA